GUCCACGCCCUAAACGAUGCACACUAGUUGUUGUGAGGCUAGACCUUGCAGUAAUGCAGUUAACACAUUAAGUGUGCCGCCUGGGGAGUACGGUCGCAAGAUUAAAACUCAAAGGAAUAGACGGGGGCCCGCACAAGCGGUGGAGCAUGUGGUUUAAUUCGAUGAUACGCGAGGAACCUUACCAAGGCUUAAAUGUAGAUUGACCGGUUUGGAAACAGAUCUUUCGCAAGACAAUUUUACAAGGUGCUGCAUGGUUGUCGU
rnacentral:rRNA from 1 species